rnacentral:rRNA from 1 species
UACCCACGGGGCGCAGCAGUGAGGAAUAUUGGUCAAUGGGCUUACGCCUGAACCAGCCAAGUCGCGUGAGGGAAGACUGCCCUAUGGGUUGUAAACCUCUUUUGUCAGGGAGCAAUUGGCGCUACGUGUAGCGUUAUCGAGAGUACCUGAAGAAAAAGCAUCGGCUAACUCCGUGCCAGCAGCCGCGGUAAUACGGAGGGUGCGAGCGUUAAUCGGAAUUACUGGGCGUAAAGCGCUCGU